GGGAGGACUAGGUGAAUGAUGGAGGGAGAACUAGGAGAAUGAUGGAGGGAGGACUAGGAGAAUGAUGGAGGGAAAACUAGGAGAAUGAUGGAGGGAAGACUAGGAGAAUGAUGGAGGGAGGACUAGGAGAAUGAUGGAGGGAGGACUAGGAGAAUGAUGGAGGGAGGACUAGGAGAAUGAUGGAGGGAGGACUAGGAGAAUGAUGGAGGGAGGACUAGGAGAAUGAUGGAUGGAGGACUAGGAGAAUGAUGGAGGGGGGACUAGGAGAAUGAUGGAGGGAGGACUAUGAGAAUGAUGGAGGGAGGACUAGGAGAAUGAUGGAGGGAGGACUAGGAGAAUGAUGGAGGGAGG
ensembl:lncRNA